rnacentral:rRNA from 1 species
GAUGAACGCUGGCGGCGUGCUUAACACAUGCAAGUCGAACGGACUUUACAUGAAACCUAGUGAUUGUAAAGUUAGUGGCGGACGGGUGAGUAACGCGUGGGUAACCUGCCUUGUACAGGGGGACAACAGUUGGAAACGACUGCUAAUACCGCAUAAGCGCACGGAGCUGCAUGGCUCAGUGUGAAAAACUCUGGUGGUACAAGAUGGACCCGCGUCUGAUUAGCUAGUUGGUGAGGUAACGGCCCACCAAGGCGACGAUCAGUAGCCGGCCUGAGAGGGUGAACGGCCACAUUGGGACUGAGACACGGCCCAAACUCCUACGGGAGGCAGCAGUGGGGAAUAUUGCACAAUGGGGGAAACCCUGAUGCAGCGACGCCGCGUGAGUGAAGAAGUAUUUCGGUAUGUAAAGCUCUAUCAGCAGGGAAGAAAAUGACGGUACCUGACUAAGAAGCCCCCGGNUAACUACGUG